rnacentral:lncRNA from 1 species
UCCCUCAUCUCCCCAUAAACGGCACCCAUAUCCCUUCUCCACCCCUGCCGUGCCCAACUCACCCCAAACUCGCCUGUAACUCAGGCAAGUUCACCCCAAACCCGCCUCACGUGCUCACUCCUCUCUCCUCUUGCCACGUAGUGUACUAUCUCUGACAAAUGGAAUUAUUCCUUCUGGAUUUUGUAGGUUUAGAUUCCUUGGUGAGCGAUUUUGAGAUGAAUGGGAGCCAUGGAUUGAUGGUCAAUCGAUCCACACACUCCAUUUGUCCCAAAAAUCGUUUACACAAAGGGAUUCGAGGCUUUCUUUUUGGAUUCGGGGCAGAAGGUUUGAGAAUUUGGAAAAGGUUAUUUAGGUGAGGAUUUUUCCUUUUUGAGGGGGGAUUUUUCGGGCAAAUUUUUGGUUUUCAGAGAAUUUUCGGGUAAAAAUCCUAGAACAAAUUUCAGAGGUCUUUAGGAGAAAGAAAAAAGAAAGUAGGAUCUGGUUUUGGUUACCUUUUGAUUUUUGCUUUCUUCAUAUAUUUUUUCAUUUGAAGUUUCACAGAAAGAUAAAAGAAAUACAUAUUCAGUGCUGCUUUCUUCUUUGUUUUUCUUUUGCUUCUUCUCAAAAAUCAUAAUUUUUUUUUAAAAUAACUCGUUACUUCUUUGGAUUUCUAUUCGAAAUGUUGAAGCCGAGUGGUAGUUCGAACUUUGAUUGAGUCGGUGUUGAUUCGAGUCUGUCGCGCUUGCUAUUAAGGCUCAGAUUUCAGUAUUUAAUUUUCCUUUCAAGAUCGUUGCUUAGCUUUCUACUAUUUAUAUCACAUUCGAACUUCAAAGGAUAACCGAAAUUCAAUUUUUAGGUUCAUAUCUUAUCCUACUGCUUUCAUGUGGAUCUAAAUGAUAAAUGUUAUGUCAAUCUAAUUAGAUAAUAUUUGAGAUUUGAUUUGAAUGAGCCAAUUGAAAUCGAUUUGAAUGAUUUAUCUUUCAUGCUUUGGAUGUUCUAGUUUGCAUUAUAUGUUGGAGUAUCUCUUAAGUUUAGAUUUUCUUAGUUUAGUAUAUGAUUGAUUAAUACUUGGUUGAUUUGUGAUUGUUAAAUGAGCAUGAACCUGUGACGUUUAUACUUAUGAUGCUUGUUUUCUGAAUUCUAAUUACGUGUUCUUGUGAAAUCUUCCUCAUUUGCUACAAACUUGUAAACUAGAAUUGGCCUAUUAACCUGAACAGCUGGUUUCGAGAGUUUUGUUAAUCAAAGACUUCCUGGUUAUUUUGUUUAAGGAACAGUUACUUCAUAAACGAGUUUCUUGUGUGUUUUCUGCUGUCUAUGACAUGUUCUGAUGUUCAAAGUAGUCUGCUCGUUCCAAUUGCUUAGUAUCUACAUAUUCGACUUGAAUUGGUUAGUCGCAUGACUGACAAACGAUCCAUGGAUCACUAAAGUACCCUGUUUUCUUGUUUUUUCUCAAGUUUCAUUACCAUUUUUACGUGUUUUUCAGGUUUAAAGUUGCUGAAAUUCUCCCUGAUAGUGUUUGCCCCCUUGUAGAUUAUUAUGUUUGAGAGGAUCAACGGGUGUCAUGUUUCUAACAGUCAUUUCUGUCACUGAACUUCUUAAAAUAGAAUUUAAUAUGAAACUUGUGUAGUAGUAUUUCUUUGUUCUUUGAAAUCAGUUUGUAUUUGCUAGUCGAGCUUGUUUAAGUUUUGGUAUGAAAAUGUUCAAAAAUCUCCUUCACUUUCUCCUAAAUGGUUUAAGCAUCAUAGUCCAUACUUAAUCUUUCAUUGUCACAGUACCCACAUUCAUAGUAAAAUCAUGUUGAAAACGUUGGGUCAUGUGGGAUUUUGGAGUUUCUAGCAUCAUGCGAGCUAUGUGCCUUUUGUCCAUUCUGAUAAGCACUGCAC